rnacentral:rRNA from 1 species
AAGUCGUAACAAGGUUUCCGUAGGUGAACCUGCGGAAGGAUCAUUACAGAGUUCAUGCCCUCACGGGUAGAUCUCCCACCCUUGAAUACUAUACCUUAGUUGCUUUGGCAGGCCGUGGAAACACCACGGGCCCCGGCUUGUGCGUGCCUGCCAGAGGAAAUAAACUCUGUUUUUAGUGAUGUCUGAGUACUAUAUAAUAGUUAAAACUUUCAACAACGGAUCUCUUGGUUCUGGCAUCGAUGAAGAACGCAGCGAAAUGCGAUAAGUAAUGUGAAUUGCAGAAUUCAGUGAACCAUCGAAUCUUUGAACGCACAUUGCGCCCCGUGGUAUUCCGCGGGGCAUGCCUGUUCGAGCGUCAUUUCAACCAAUCAAGCCUCGGCUUGGUCUUGGGGUUUGCGGUCCCGCAUCUCCUAAACUCAGUGGCGGUGCGAUUGAGCUCUGAGCGUAGUAAAUUUUCUCGCUAUAGGGUCUUGGUCGUUACUUGCUAGCAACCCCCAAUUUUUAUUAGGUUGACCUCGGAUCAGGUAGGGAUACCCGCUGAACUUAA